UCUCAAAUUAAAACAUGCCCUUUAUGGAAGAAUGAUGGAAUAAAGAUUGGUAACCAUUCAGUAUUAUAUAAAGAUUGGACAAAAAAAGGGGUUUGGCUGAUCAAUGACUUGUUACAGGAAGGUGGAAAUUUUAUGACUUUUGAUCACUUUAAUAAUGUAUACAAUAUUAAAACUAAUUUUCUCACAUAUCAAGGCCUAAUUUCGGCAAUAAAAAAGUAUUUAAAAGAAUAUCAAAUAUGUCCAAAUGACUUAAAGAGAGAAAACGGUCCAGUUUUGCCCUCAGUGUUAAAGGUUUUUUUUUUAAAUCCCAGAAAGGUUCAAAAGAUAUGUAUAAUAUUUUGAAUGGUAAAAAAGUCAAAUCCUAAACAAAAAUGUGAACAAAAAUGGUCAUUAAUUCUCAAUGCAAACUUCAAUUGGAAAAAUAUCCAUGUAUUGCCCUUUUAUAUUACAAAAAAUUCAAAAUUGCAGUGGUUUCAAUACAGAAUAAUACAUCGAAUUUUAGGCACGAAUGAACUUCUCCUUAAAAUAAAAAUUAAAGAUACAAAUAUUUGUAGUUUUGGGUGCGGAGGGGUCGAAACAAUAGAACAUAUAUUCUGGACGUGUCCAUAUAUAUCAAAAUUAUGGGAAGACCUUAACUCCUGGAUAUUUGAGAAGACAGAAAUAGAACUAACUUUAAAUAUUGAUUUGGUUUUAUUUGGUAUUUUAACAAAAACAGAUAAAAAUGAUAUAAGAAACUUAAUACUUCUGUUAACAAAAUUCUACAUCUAUAGAAGCAAAUUAUCUAUGGAACAAACCAAUAUAAUAGCACUUAAAAAAUUAUUUAAAGGAAAACUUAUUAAUAGAAAAAAAUAUAUUCUAUAAAAAUAAAUUACUCAGUAGGGCAGAAAACUGCUGGAACCCCUGGACUCCUUUACUAUCAUAAAAACAAAAAAAACAAAAAACAAAUAGACUCCACAUAUAAUGUAUAUAUAUUUCAUAUCCAAACAGCCUCUGUCUUAAAAUCAUUAUCUGCAAUGUAUCAAACUAAAACAGCUGUGUCUAUUAAAUAUAUUAUAUAUCUUCUUUUUAGUGUAUAUAACUAUUAUGCAUACAAAUGUGUGUAACUUAUUAUGUUCAUGUGCAAAUAAGAA
rnacentral:lncRNA from 1 species